rnacentral:rRNA from 1 species
GCCCCUUCUUAACCAUUUGGGGGUGUGACCUGCUCAAUGGCUGGAAAUAAAUAAAUUAAAUACAGUUAAAUAGCCGCGGUAACUCUGACCGUGAUAAAGUAGCAUAAUCAUUUGUCACCUAAUUAGUGAAUGGAAUGAAUGGUUAAACGAAUCCUUCACUGUCUCAAUAAGAAAUUCUAUAAAAUUGGAAUUGUAGUGAAGAUACUACAAAAAGAUUGCAAGACGAAAAGACCCUAUUGAGCUUUACUGGAUACUUUCAGAAAACGAAAAAAAUAGAAAAACUAUAUUUAAAACAAUCUGUAAGUAAGACAGUUUGGUUGGGGCGACCACCUCUAAAAAAGUAACAGAGGAGAUCUAAAGGUUAUUUUUAUGAAAAAAACUUAACUGAAUAAAUAUAAUUUAAACAGAUACUAUGCGUAGGACAUAAUGACCCGUUAUAUCAAAACUUAAAUAUAACGAUAACAAAAAAAGUUACCAUAGGGAUAACAGGGUAAUAUUUUCUAAGAGUUCUAAUCGACGAAGAUGUUUGCCACCUCGAUGUUGAAUUGUGAUAUCCUAGGGGUGCAGCAGCUCCUAAGGGUUG